UACGGAGGGUGCAAGCGUUAUCCGGAUUCACUGGGUUUAAAGGGUGUGUAGGCGGGCAAUUAAGUCAGUGGUGAAAUCUCCAGGCUCCAACCUGGAAACUGCCAAUGAUACUAUUUGUCUUGAAUACUGUUGAGGUGGGCGGAAUAUGUCAUGUAGCGGUGAAAUGCAUAGAUAUGACAUAGAACACCAAUUGCGAAGGCAGCUCACUAAGCAGGUAUUGACGCUGAGGCACGAAAGCGUGGGGAUCAAAACAGG
rnacentral:rRNA from 1 species